rnacentral:rRNA from 1 species
GACGAACGCUGGCGGCGUGCUUAACACAUGCAAGUCGAACGGUGAAGCUCCAGCUUGCUGGAGUGGAUCAGUGGCGAACGGGUGAGUAACACGUGAGCAACCUGCACCUGACUCUGGAAUAAGCGCUGGAAACGGCGUCUAAUACUGGAUACGAGAAGGGCCCGCAUGGGCACUUUCUGGAAAGUUUUUCGGUUGGGGAUGGGCUCGCGGCGUAUCAGCUUGUUGCUGAGGUAAUGGCUCACGAAGGCGACGACGGGUAGCCGGCUUGAGAGGGCGACCGGCCACACUGGGACUGAGACACGGCCCAGACUCCUACGGGAGGCAGCAGUAGGGAAUAUUGCACAAUGGGCGAAAGCCUGAUGCAGCGACGCCGCGUGAGGGAUGACGGCCUUCGGGUUGUAAACCUCUUUCAGCAGGGAAGAAGCGAAAGUGACGGUACCUGCAGAAGAAGCACCGGCUAACUACGUGCCAGCCGCCGCCGUAAAAC